UACGAAGGGGGCUAGCGUUGCUCGGAAUCACUGGGCGUAAAGCGCACGUAGGCGGAUUGCUAAGUCAGGGGUGAAAUCCUGGAGCUCAACUCCAGAACUGCCUUUGAUACUGGCGAUCUCGAGUCCGGGAGAGGUGAGUGGAACUGCGAGUGUAGAGGUGAAAUUCGUAGAUAUUCGCAAGAACACCAGUGGCGAAGGCGGCUCACUGGCCCGAUACUGACGCUGAGGCACUAAAGCGUGGGGAGCAAACAGG
rnacentral:rRNA from 1 species